UUUACCAUGAGCCAAAGAAGAUGUGCCUCUUAUAUAAUGAAUAUUUUAAUGCUUAAACCACAUAUCAAAGAGAUAAAUUUGAAUUACGAAUUCAAAUUACCUUUUGUGGUGGUUAUAAUAUUUUAGUGGAACUGAUGUAAACUUGUGGAAGAUGGUCCAAGGAAAUGGGUAAAUUUGAAACAUUGUUAUGCAAGCAACAGAUGUCUAUUGCUUAUUUAAUCUAUAGGGGAUGCUUUAUGUGUGCAUAUUUCUUACUUUAUUAUGCAUUGAACUUCCCAUGUUUGUAUUCAGAAUCUAUUCUACAUUUCCUCCCUUAGCUCAAUCGUCUAUCUUUUUCUUUUGGAUGUUCUUAUUGUUUAUUUAUGUUAAAAGUUAUUCCAAAAUGCUCUCAUUAUGCACCUUAAAUGAUAGCUCGUCAUAGAGCAUCUAAAAUUUUAAUUUCAGUUUUGAAUAAUUCAUGCUUACUCUUUGAUGUAAUCAUCCAGUAAGCUGGAAUCUGGGUCCGAUAUGUCUAUCCUUUGAAUGUCUUGAGCUCAUCCUGUAUAACCAUUCCUUCCAGCUUAUUUACUCCAGUUUGUUGAAGCUGUUAAGGAAUUUUGUUGUUUCACUUCUUCCUUGAACCGUUUCUAGUUAGUUUUAGCUCCAUCUUAGAUGCCCUUUUAUCUUUUGCAGAGGUAUAUCAUAUUCUGUUACUGUAUAUUAACAUUGUCG
rnacentral:lncRNA from 1 species